rnacentral:rRNA from 1 species
UGGGGAAUCUUGCGCAAUGGACGAAAGUCUGACGCAGCAACGCCGCGUGAGCGAAGAAGGCCCUUGGGUCGUAAAGCUCUGUAGGAAGGGAAGAAAGAAAUGACGGUACCUUCAAAGUAAGCACCGGCUAACUCCGUGCCAGCAGCCGCGGUAAUACGGAGGGUGUGAACGUUGUUCGGAAUUAUUGGGCGUAAAGCGCACGCAGGCGGCCUGUAGGGUCGGGUGUGAAAGCCCGGGGCUUAACCCCGGAAUUGCACUCGAAACCGGCAGGCUUGAAUCUAGCAGAGGAAGGUAGAAUUCCUGGUGUAGGGGUGAAAUCCGUAGAUAUCAGGGGGAAUACCGAUGGCGAAGGCAGCCUUCUGGGCUUAGAUUGACGCUGAGGUGCGAAAGCGUGGGUAGCAAACA